GAUUCCCCUAGUAACUGCGAGUGAAGCGGGAAAAGCUCAAAUUUAAAAUCUGGCGGUCUUUGGCCGUCCGAGUUGUAGUCUGGAGAAGUGCUUUCCGCGCUGGACCGUGUAUAAGUCUCUUGGAACAGAGCGUCAUAGAGGGUGAGAAUCCCGUCUUUGACACGGACUACCAGUGCUUUGUGAUGCGCUCUCGAAGAGUCGAGUUGUUUGGGAAUGCAGCUCAAAAUGGGUGGUAAAUUCCAUCUAAAGCUAAAUAUUGGCGAGAGACCGAUAGCGAACAAGUACCGUGAGGGAAAGAUGAAAAGCACUUUGGAAAGAGAGUUAAACAGUACGUGAAAUUGCUGAAAGGGAAACGCUUGAAGUCAGUCGCGUCUGCCGGAACUCAGCCUUGCUUUCGCUUGGUGCAUUUUCCGGUAGACGGGCCAGCAUCGAUUUUGACCGUCGGAAAAGGGCCAGGGAAAUGUGGCACCUUCGGGUGUGUUAUAGUCUCUGGUCGUAUACGACGGUUGGGAUCGAGGAACGCAGCGCGCCGCAAGGCAGGGGUUCGCCCACUUUCGCGCUUAGGAUGCUGGCGUAAUGGCUUUAAACGACCCGUCUUGAAACACGGACCAA
rnacentral:rRNA from 1 species